GAGUAACGGACGUGCGAGGAUGAUGCUUGUGCAAGAAGGAAAUGACCGCUGUCCCGGCUCCGCGGGAGACGAACCCCGGCUUCCCGCCCUCAGGGACUAGCUCUCCAGGGAACUGGGACGCGCCCCCGGACCGUGCAGUUCUCUGCAGGACCAGGCCAUGGAGCUCGAAGUCCGGCGGGUCCGACAGGCGUUCCUGUCCGGCCGGUCGCGACCUCUGCGGUUUCGGCUGCAGCAGCUGGAGGCCCUGCGGAGGAUGGUGCAGGAGCGCGAGAAGGAUAUCCUGGCGGCCAUCGCCUCCGACCUGUGCAAGAGUGAAUUCAAUGUGUACAGUCAGGAAGUCAUUACUGUCCUUGGGGAAAUUGAUUUUAUGCUUGAGAAUCUUCCUGAAUGGGUUACUGCUAAACCAGUUAAGAAGAAUGUGCUCACCAUGCUGGAUGAGGCCUAUAUUCAGCCACAGCCUCUGGGAGUGGUGCUGAUAAUCGGAGCUUGGAAUUACCCCUUCGUUCUCACCAUUCAGCCACUGAUAGGAGCCAUCGCUGCAGGAAAUGCUGUGAUUAUAAAGCCUUCUGAACUGAGUGAAAAUACAGCCAAGAUCUUGGCAAAGCUUCUCCCUCAGUAUUUAGACCAGGUAAGAAUUUCUUGACUCAUCUC
rnacentral:sRNA from 1 species